rnacentral:rRNA from 1 species
UGCUACAAAUCAUGCAAGUCGAGGGGCAGCAUGAUUUGUAGCAAUACAGAUUGAUGGCGACCGGCGCACGGGUGAGUAACGCGUAUGCAACUUACCUAUCAGAGGGGGAUAACCCGGCGAAAGUCGGACUAAUACCGCAUGAAGCAGGGAUCCCGCAUGGGAAUAUUUGCUAAAGAUUCAUCGCUGAUAGAUAGGCAUGCGUUCCAUUAGGCAGUUGGCGGGGUAACGGCCCACCAAACCGACGAUGGAUAGGGGUUCUGAGAGGAAGGUCCCCCACAUUGGUACUGAGACACGGACCAAACUCCUACGGGAGGCAGCAGUGAGGAAUAUUGGUCAAUGGCCGAGAGGCUGAACCAGCCAAGUCGCGUGAAGGAAGAAGGAUCUAUGGUUUGUAAACUUCUUUUAUAGGGGAAUAAAGUGGAGGACGUGUCCUUUUUUGUAUGUACCCUAUGAAUAAGCAUCGGCUAACUCCGUGCCAGCAGCCGCGGUAAUACGGAGGAUGCGAGCGUUAUCCGGAUUUAUUGGGUUUAAAGGGUGCGUAGGUGGUGAUUUAAGUCAGCGGUGAAAGUUUGUGGCUCAACCAUAAAAUUGCCGUUGAAACUGGGUUACUUGAGUGUGUUUGAGGUAGGCGGAAUGCGUGGUGUAGCGGUGAAAUGCAUAGAUAUCACGCAGAACUCCGAUUGCGAAGGCAGCUUACUAAACCAUAACUGACACUGAAGCACGAAAGCGUGGGGAUCAAACAGGAUUAGAUACCCUGGUAGUCCACGCAGUAAACGAUGAUCACUAGCUGUUUGCGAUACAGUGUAAGCGGCACAGCGAAAGCGUUAAGUGAUCCACCUGGGGAGUACGCCGGCAACGGUGAAACUCAAAGGAAUUGACGGGGGCCC